rnacentral:rRNA from 1 species
AUGUCCGUUACCAACUCGGAAGUGGAGAGCGCCAUGAAUCAUCGGCGCUGUAGGGCUAUUUUACGAGACCCUGAGUUCUCAGAAGAGGCAUUCAAUGCCUUCAGUUUGGCUAAUGCAUACAUCCGAGCUGCUCGAAAUGGGCUUAGUAGAGCCACAAAGCAGCAUUUAACAGACGUGCGGGUUCUUACAGAGAAGAACAACCUGCUAACCCAAGAGCUGGAACAGUGUCGGGCACAGCUAAAUGCUGCUACCGCCGAACUGGAAAACUUCAAGAAGCUGUCCAUGAAGUUGAAGAUCGCCCAAGAGGGAGAAAGAGAGGCAAAGAGGCAACACGCCGCAGGCGAGCGUGUGCUGACCCGUGUUAGGGAUGAGAAAAACAAGCUACAAGAUUCCAACACUACGUUGGGUGAAGAGUUGAAAGAUGUGCAGGCCCAGCUAGCCGACUUCGUGAUGGACAACAAGAAGCUGCGGGGCGGCAUAUUCAGUAUAUUGACAGGCCGUCCUGAAGAGGAGGUGUCCGGAUCAGCAAGUGAUCUGCUGCAAAGACUGUCGCAAGUGCACGAGCAUGCUCGGCUGGCCAUGCGGAGUGUUGCCAAGGCCUUAUGGACAUCCGCCUCCCCUCCAGGUAGUAUGGAGGAGCUUGUAGAGCUGUUCAAGGGAGCGCGGCGGCGUAUCCGAUUAUGGAAGAUAUCGGCCUGCCGAGAGGGUGUGCGAGAGGCCUGGGCCAUGGUGAAAACGCGAUAUACCAAGCUGAAUCCUAAUCACAUGGCCUGGGUUGGACCAUUAGGGCCAAAUGGGGAAGAAAUUCCUGUUAGUUUAGUAUAUGACCAAGUAGAGGUGGCCGCCAAAUAUUUCCAACAGGAUUGUAAGUUAGACUGCCUGUUAGAUGGUAUAGAGGAGGAAGUGUUUGAGUCCAAGUGA